UACGAAGGGGGCUAGCGUUGCUCGGAAUUACUGGGCGUAAAGGGAGCGUAGGCGGAUAGUUUAGUCAGAGGUGAAAGCCCAGGGCUCAACCUUGGAAUUGCCUUUGAUACUGGCUAUCUUGAGUAUGGGAGAGGUGUGUGGAACUCCGAGUGUAGAGGUGAAAUUCGUAGAUAUUCGGAAGAACACCAGUGGCGAAGGCGGCUCACUGGCCCGAUACUGACGCUGAGGUGCGAAAGCGUGGGGAGCAAACAGG
rnacentral:rRNA from 1 species